UUGAUUGCUGGUAACUAAUCAGUGGUGAUCGUGUGCUACAAUUUGCUUAAAAGAUCCAGGGUGAAUAUCAUAGCAUAUGAAAUAGAUGAAGUUUUCUCUCUUAGGAUCAUGCUACAGGCUUCAAUUUUAUCAAACACUCCUUACCAGAUCCCUGGAAUCAACCUUUCUAAAUCAGCAGCAAGUGUGAAAUCAUAAGGAUGGUCAUUAGUGAAGACGAACAGAGAGUAGGGACUGCUUGUAAUUGAAAAGG